GCGGAUGUAGCCAAGUGGAUCAAGGCA
rnacentral:ncRNA from 5 species